CGUAACCAACCCCGAUCGAUCGAGGUGUCACCACAACGAAGCACCGAACCUUCCUCCGAUUCGAGAUCCCCUACUCGGUAGUGAGUGAGCAUGGACUUCCACCUCCCCAUAGUUCACCCAGGCGCGGCGCCGGCGGGCAACGUCGAGAUGGACCACCAGGCACAAGCAGCAGCCGUGAACCCGCCGCCACCAGCGGCUCACGGCCGUGAACCAGCAGCAGGUCGGCGGGCAGGGACCGAACACCUGGGUCGGCAACGACGCCAACACGCUGCUGGUGGUGGCCACGCUGAUCACCACGCUCACCUACCAGCUCGGCACCAACAUCCCCGGCGGGUACUGGCAGGAGACAAAAUCGCUGGACGGCAGGGAGCUUUACCGCGCCGGCGACCCCAUCAUGCGCGACCUGCACCGCCCAAGGUACGCGUGCGCGUGAAAACCACUCCAUCGGUCGUUCAUGCCAGUAUCGGUUGACAUGCCGGAUGUGCAGGUACUGGUUGUUCAUGGCGGCGAGCUGGGUUGGGUUCGCGAGCUCGAUGGUGAUGACGCUGAGCCUGCUGGUGCGGAUGUCGGCGGACUCGCGGCACGUGCGGUGGUCGUUCGUGGUGGCCUACUCCAGCCUCGUGCUCACCUUCGUCUGGGCGGGCGUCCGCGCCUUCCUCUGGCUCGUCAUCAGCGUCCACCCGGAGCACCGCACGCGCAUCGUCCAGGCACUCUGCUGCAGCCACCGCAACUAGGAGUUGACUGGCGGGUGACUCUAUCGUCCACCCGGAUACGUAGUUUGAUUGGCUAGGGAAUUAGCGGUACUUCUUUUAAAUAAUCGGAGGGAGUAUGCUCAGUGAACUAGUAACUAGUUAUCGAUGAUUACCGUUUUCUUCAAGCUGUGUGACAUAGUGCUG
rnacentral:rRNA from 1 species